UGGCGGACGGGUGAGUAACGCGUGGGUAACCUGCCUUACACAGGGGGAUAACACCUGGAAACAGGUGCUAAUACCGCAUAAGCGCACAGGGCCGCAUGGCCCGGUGCGAAAAACUCCGGUGGUGUAAGAUGGACCCGCGUCUGAUUAGCUUGUUGGCGGGGUAGAGGCCCACCAAGGCGACGAUCAGUAGCCGGCCUGAGAGGGUGGACGGCCACAUUGGGACUGAGACACGGCCCAAACUCCUACGGAAGGCAGCAG
rnacentral:rRNA from 1 species